rnacentral:lncRNA from 1 species
AGAGGGGAGUCAUGAAGUCUAUGUGGAACCACUGUAGAGCUUUAGUAAAGACGUGACUUUUCAGAUUUGCAUUUCUGAUGGGACACUCACAGCAGCAAAGGUGUGGACUCAAGGAAGCCAGACUGGAGGAAGGAGAUUAGUUAGAAAGUCACCUCUGUCACAACAAGGUGGUUCUCUUUGAGAUUGACACCAAGAUUUUAAAAGCUUCAUGAGGAGAAACUGAAACUGAACUAGAGUAAGCUUGGUGCAGCCCAGCUUUCACUGGGUUAUUGAUCCCAUGAGAGAUUAUUUUAAGAUUGAAUUAUCCAGACUUUAGGAAAUAAACUGACAUUGGCCAAUGUAUUCUGAUGUGACUAUCUUUGGGAGCUGGAUCAUAUCCCUAUUAGAGGGUUGGUGAAGUUUUUGUCUGCAAAGAAUUUAACUUCUUCUGUUGUACCGAGAACAGAAACUAGCAAAUCUCAUGCUCAGUUAAGAGAAAACUUCCUCCUGUUUAUGGUACCAGAACAUGUUUGGAAUGGACUCCAAGGCAUGGAGAUUCCUGGGGCAUUUCCAGAGGGAAAGUCACCCCUGGCCAGGUGAGAAUUGGCUGGGAAUGAGAUCUCUGUCUGGGAUCUUUGCACGAGUCUAGGCCUGUGUAGGUUGUAAGUCACUACCUCAUUCUACAUUUUUUCUAUUAUACCUAAGCAGGCAGUGAAGUUUUGCGAAAAGUUACAGUGUGGACUCAGUAAUACUGUGGGGAAUUCAGGAAGGGCUUGUCUCAUGCUUCAGAAAGAGACGCACACAUUCUCCUCUUUGAGACCAGGGUGCUGGUAACCGUCUGCAGAAAGUCAUGCCCAGCUGAGCAGUGUGAUCUUACAGAAGAUGGUACAGCCUUCAAGCCUUAGUGGGCACAAGAACCCUGUGGACCUGCUCAGGAGACCACACGGCAGAACCCUGGGAACUCUCAGAAGCAGCUGGCAGAUCAGCCCUGAGCUAACUGCUGUCAAUCCUCCUCCUUUUGCUGAGGAAGA